GGAGGGGUGCCGGAGUGGCUAAUCGGAACAGUCUGUAAAACUGUCGCCCUGACGGGCUGCGCAGGUUCGAAUCCUGCCCCCUCCACCA
rnacentral:tRNA from 1 species